UAACUAUUAAAUUGUUGUUGUAUUAUAAUUCUGAGCACGUUUCUAUUGAAUUUAAGGAAGGCCAUUUGAGUUUAGUAAAACACCUGCAAAUGCAGAUGAGUGUGAAAUGCUGGCUGCAUCUGAGCACAUUUAAGAUAAUGUGUUUAUUACUCAAUUAAAAUCCCAAGUAAUCUACUACUUAUAAAUUAGAAAAAGUUGCUGAAUUAAAGCCUAGGUUAUAAUGCAAAAUCAAACUCCUUUAUUUGGUGAGUAGAAAUGUGAACUUUCCAAUAUGGUAUAAAAAUCAAACAUAGUGGCGGCCCUAGGCAGGGGCCUGGCCCUCCCAUAGUGCCUUAAGUGGGCUCCUGGAGGUGACCACCCUGCAGGGGUUAGGGGCGCACUGGGGGUUACCAGGAGCGGCUCCUAGGUGUUCAGGCGCCCAGGAGCUCGAGGUGGCACUUUUGGGACAUCCCCACCCCACUCCCUGCCUGGCCUUAGGACAUGCCUGGAGGCAGGGUCCACCUUCCAGGGCAGAGGGUCUUUACUCUCCUCUCCAUAUCAGGGCAAAGGGCAGUGUUUGCCCCCCACCCAAUCCCAUUUCUGUUCCCUCCCUUGGACAAGGGGCAUUGUAGGGGGUGAGAAGGAUGGUCCUUCCUCUUGAGUCGGGAAAGUGCAUAGGGGAACUAUUUAGGGCUGAGAACUUGGGCAAAAUGAGGAAAAUGAGCGUAGGAACUGGUUUUGGGACGCUUUGGUGACUUGAAAGGUGGUCUGCCUCUUUGGGGAAAAGAGGGGAGGGUCUCCCACCACCGUGUAUUGAGGCAUGAUGACAAGAAGGUGUCACAUGCUGCUAGGACUGACCUCUUCAGCUCCAUUUGCAGCCUCCCCAUGGCCUGGAGGGGUGGAGGUCGGUAGAAUGGGAGGACUUUGCCUCCUUUCAGGAAUCAGACCGGCUCCUGGGCUGUCUCAAUGCCUCCGGGGCUGGAGACUGGCUCCUCCCAAGAUCGCAGCCAAAAUUGGAGGUGAUGCUGCAAACAGCACUCCUGAUUUUGUUUUGUGGGGCGGGGGGGAGGGGUAAUGAGACAGUUGGAAGAUGGAGAUCAAUCGGAGAGCAAGAAGCUGGCUUCUCAGGGAGACGCAAUCAGUUACCAACUUGGACCUAUCCAUCGUCCUCCAAGGACUUCAAUGACAGAAGAGUACAAGGUCCCAGAGGGCAUGGUGGGCCUGAUCUUUGGCAGAGGGGGAGAACAAAUUGACAAAAUCCAACAGGAUUCAGCCUGCAAAGUACAGAUUACUCCAGACAGCAGUGGCCUACCAGAGCACAAUGUGUCCUUGACAGGAGCCCCAGAAUCUCUACAGAAAGCGAAGAUGAUGCUGGAUGACAUUAUGUCUCGGGGUCAUAGGAGGACCCCAGGACAGUUCCACAACUCCCACAGGGGCCAGAACGGUACCGUGCAGGACAUGGUCCCUGUGGGGAAGGCCGGCCUUGUCAUCGCUAACGGCGGGUAGACCAUGAAGCAGCUGCAGGAACGCGCUGGAGUGAAGAUGAUCUUAAUUCAGGAUGGUUCUCAGAAUACCAAUGUGGACAAUCCUCUCCGGAUCCCUGAGGAUCCUUACAAAGUGCAGCAAGCCUGGGAGAUGGUGAUGGACAUCCUCCAGGAACGUGACCAAGGCGGCUUUGGGGACCGGAAAGAGCAGGGAUCUUGGAUUGGCGGGGGCAUCCAUGUGCAGGUGCCCAGGCAUUCUGUCGGCGUGGUUAUUGGCCGGAAAGGAGAGAUGAUUAAGAAGAUCCAGAAUGACGCUGGUGUGAGGAUACAGUUCAAGCAAGAUGAUGGGGCAGGGCCCGAGAAGACUGCUCAUAAAAUGAGGUCCCCAGACUGGUGCAAGCACGCAGCCUGGAUCAUCAACGACCGCCUCCAGAGCCUCAGGCGUGGCCCCCCCAGGCCCUCCAGGGGGUCCAGGCAUGCCCCCGGGGAGGCCGAGGAAGAGGCCAAGGCAACUGGGGGACCCCUGCGGGGAGAUGACCUUCUCCAUCCCCACUCACAAGUGCGGGCAUCAUGAUCAUCGUAGAGAUCUCCUGGCAGCUACCACCCAGCGGGGAUCCCAACUUCAAGUUGUUCAUUAUCCAGGGUUCACCCCAGCAGAUCCACCACACCAGGCAGCUUAUCGAGGGGGCUCUUCAAUCAGGGGCCACCUGGGCUCCCCCGCAUGCCAGGGGGCUCCCUCCUCACCAGGGCCGGGGCAAUACCUACCCUUAGUGGCAACCACCUGCUCCUCACGACCCAAGCAAAGCAGCUGCGGCUACCGCGGACCCCAACGCCACAUGGGCCGCCUACUACUCACACUACCACCAGCAGUCCCCGGGCGCGACGCCGGACCCCGGGGCUCCACCCGCUCAAGGUGAGCCCCCUCAGUCCCCGCCCACCGGCCAGUCGGACUACACUAAGGCCUGGGAAGACUAUUACAAAAAGAUCGGCCAGCAGCCCCAGCAGCCGGAAGCGCCCGGCAGCACGACUACACCGAGGCCUGGGAAGAGUACUACAAGAAGCAGGCGCAAGUGGCCCCCGGAGCGGGUCCAGGAGCUCCCCCAGGCUCCCAGCCAGACUACAGUGCAGCCUGGGGAGAAUAUCACAGACAGCAAACCGCUUACUACGGACAGAUCCCAGGUCCCGGCGGCCCCCAGCCACCGCCCACGCAGCAGGGACAGCAACAGGCUCAAUGAAUCGAAUGAAUGUGAACUUCUUCAUCCGUGAAACAUCUUUUUUUUUUCCAUUUUUUUUUUUCUGUUUGGGGGCUUCGGUUUUGCUUGGCGAGAGAGCGAUGGCUGCCGUGAGGAGUAUUGGGGAGCCCUUGAGGCAAGCACGGGGGCUCAGGGGAAUGGGAGUGUGCCAAGCCCUCACUCUCUCGCCCGCUCUGAGUCUCACAUACUUUUUCUUUCAAAAUUGGGAUCCUUCAGGUUGAGCCAGCCAGAGAAGAUGGCGAGAUCUAAAUAUCUGCCAAAAAAGAAACCUUACAAAUUAAAAAAACAAAGAGCAAAGCAGAAGUUAUUAAGUUUUAUGUAUAUGUAUAUAUGUAUACAUAAAAGUCUCUAUGCUCCACCCCUCGGCAUUCCUGAACCUGCCUCUCUGACAAUAAAGCAAUUCAA